GCCCAGCUCAGAGGUUGUCGAGGCUCCUACUAGCCAGGCGCCUUCUAAGCGCUUGGCCGCAGGUUCGAGUCCUGCCGGGGGCG
rnacentral:tRNA from 1 species